CACAUAUUUUCAUUGCCAACUUCCUUGGGCCAUAAAUUUAGUUAUUUACUUUUUUAUAAAAGGUUUUAUGGUACUUAUAAAAAAAAGUUAAGUUAUUUUCGAUUGGCAAUAUACUUUGUGCGUGAUUGCUUAAAUAUGGGUUUGACCUCUGUGGUCGUUCCUUUUCCCAGACCGCCGUCAUGAAGUGAAGAGUGCUUUAGUUCUUUUUGAAAUUCGUGUGAAUUUUACCCAUAUGGGGAUAUAAUUGACUAAAUGUGGUGAGAGUAAAUCAACUUUUUGGGCGUAAUGCUAUAAUUUGUUGUUUUGUUGAAUUUACUGGCCUUUAUGGCGAUUUAAAACCUAAUAAUUUUUCACGUGCCCUCGAACAUCGGCAAAAUAGCGGUUCUGAUUGGCAUUGGCAGGGGACAAUUUAAUUAACAAAGCUACAUAACAUGGAUUUUGGUCGGAUUUUUUUUGUACGGACUUGAUUUCUUCAUGCCACAUGGUACUUUUAUUUUGGGGUUAUGUACUCUACUGGCUCUAAUCUAGAGGAGAUUUUAAGCAACUGUGAGCUAACGUCUAACCUAGACCACUACCAGAGCUUGGCGUAUUGUGAAGUGGAAGAGGUGAAGCUUGGAAGCCUGCAGUUUUUCUUUGACUGGGAAUUGGAUGUCUGGGAGAGUCUCGAAUCUGAAGUAGUCUGCUGUGUGUGGAGCUAAGUGACACAACAUAACAUUUUUUUUAUUCACUUAUUUUAUUUUUAUUAUCACAACUUUUAUCUUUUGAGUUGAGAUACAUACAUAAGUUUAUUUAAAAUUUUAUUGACAUUAUUUAAUCGAUGCUAUUUUAUUAUUGAAUAUUACUGAUAAGAGUACAUAUAUGUGUGACAAGUGACUCCUGUGAGGUAAGACGCAGCCGGCUUCGUAGUACUACGAGUAUAUACUUGGGUUAUAUUAUUUAUUUUCAGAGUACUCCUAAGAUGUCAAAUUUUCUCAGAUUAGCUAGUAAAUAUUAGAGUAAACUAAUAAAAGGGUAAUUUUUUUGAUUGGGGAAGCUUCAACAGUUAGGGUUGUCAUUUUUUUUUUUGCUUAGGUCAAUGUCCGUGGCGGGAUAUACCGGGCCAUGUAAAUUGUUAGUUUAAUUCGUAUUGAAGCUUCAUUCCCCAAAAGGUUUGGGUCUAACAUAAUUUAUUUUAUUUUGACAACCACACUUUUGAUGUGUAUUUUUUUAGAUAUAUUUCUUAUAGAUAUAUUUCUUAUAAGCAUGGUCACGCAUGACAGUGCACCAUUUUGGAAAAUUUAAUUUUAUGGCACAUAUCUGUUGACAACUUUGUUUUUCUUGUAAUUAGAAACUUAAAUGUUAUGGUUCCUUAUUACCAACUUAAAUAAUUAUUCCUCUUAAAGAUAAAUAAAAUAACAUAACAUAAUUCGCUGUGAUAAUCAAGACUUAAAUAAAUUGUUAUUUUCUGUUGUUAUUUUGUUUUUCACUUGAGUUGAGUAGGUUAGAAUAUCAUAGGUAAUUUGGAAACAAUAGUGUAUACCGACUUGACUUUGAUUUUGUUUUCCAAGUUUCGUUUUGAACUUGCCUAAAUAAAUUUUGAUAAAUAUUGGGCGUCCUUUGGGAUUAUAUAAAAUCCAAAACUUGGUGGCGCCAUACUGAUUUUGACAUUUAUUUGGGUAACUCUUGGGUAGUUACUACCUAAGAAAUUUUGGUUCAUUUGGGUGAGAAAGAAGCUAGAACCCACAUCGGCUUGAGCUAGCAGCAUUGUGAAGGAUUCCUUCUCUGGGCGUUUCAGGUAAGAGGGGUUAAGUUCCUCCGGGCAUCAAACAACUUUUGGAGACCCUCUUAAGGCCAUAAACCUUUCACUAUUUUUAGUACUUCUUUUCUUUUGAUUAACUUGGCAUAAAUCGGUUCACCAUUUUAUUCAUUUUGUCAUUGCAUUAUUCAUUGCAUUUAAAAAAAAAAAAAUUAUAACACUAUUAUUCCGAACUGAUUUCAAUUUAAUUUUUUUAAUUCAUUUGAGAUAUCUUAAGUGAUGUUUCAAAUUUUUCUAAUAUAUACUAUUAUUAUAUAUACUAUUAUUAACUUUAAAAUAUUUUGUUUUGUUUUAAAUAUUAUAAUAUAUUUUAAAAAAAUCUAAUGAUUUGGCUUAAAAAAAACACACCUAUGCCUUGUUAAUUAAUGCUGUAAUUUCCAUUUGUUUUAUAUGUAAAAAGUAUGCAUAGCUUCUUUCAAUUUGGAACUGAACAUUUCUUCUUUAUUUCCACAUUCAGAUGUUUACAGAAAUAAUAUGACAGUAAUAUGCAAAAAGUAUACAAAAUUUAUACAAUUGCAAAGUACCCAUAGUUAUUUUUAAUUUUAUGUAAGAAAUUAUACUGGCAGAUUAUUACAAAACUCCAAGAUUUUUCAAGCCUUAUUUCUGAUUUAAGUUGGAUUUUUUUUACAAUGAAGAAGCAAACAUAAACUUGAAAAAAGGGCCAAAGUCAAAAGGAUUUUUUUUAAAUAACGCAAUCUUAAACAAUUAAAAACCUAGGAAGCAGACAUUUCUUGGGUUGGAAUUUUUUAUCAAAAAAUUUUAAUUCAUUCAGAGUUGUCACUACUGAAAAUGUUUAUAAUUAGUGUUAUUGGUAUUUAGUUUUGUGCAUCGCAUUACAUUCAUUACUUGAAAAUAAUCUACUUAUUUAGUUUAUUCAGUUUAACUCACAGUCACUUUGACACUUUAAGUCACAUUACAGACGUCAAACCCCUUAUGGUAGAACAUUGAAAGGCAUUAACAUUGAUUGUCUUUCAGACAUCAGAAUUUUAAAUGGGACACCCCGUAUAUUUUUAGGUUUCUUGGGAGAAAUAAAGGUAAUUUUCAUAAGAACUACGUAUUUGAAUUUUGUGUAGUUUAGACAAAAAUUAAGGGUUUAUAUUUUUUUUAGCAAAUUUAUGUCCUGGGCCAUACACUGUUUUGUUAUGCUGGUAAUUAAGACUUUUAAAAACAAUUCUUACCACGACUUAAGAAGACUACCUCCUAUUGAUCGACGGUGUCCGGGUAUUUUAAAUUUAUAUAGGGUGUCUCAGAAUCCAUAUGCUUCAGUGCCAGAUGAAGUUGGAAUCCAUAGCGGAAACAGAGAAACUAAUGUAAGAAACUGGUAAAGAACAAAGGCAAAAACACACAGUUUAGAAAAUUGUAUUAACUCUUUGGGCCAGAUUCAAAUGAGCGGUUAAAUUUAUAAAAGUAUUUAGUAUGAUCACUAUAAUUUUAGGAUCCAGUAUACUUAAAAUGUAGUGUUUUGUAUAAGAUUUUUAGUUUUUAGAAAAAGCAUUUACUGUUGUUAAUUUUUAUCUAGUCUCUCCUAUUAUGCACAAUAACUAAAUAUGAGGCAAACAAAUUAAUAAAUAUUACAUU
rnacentral:lncRNA from 1 species